AUGCAGCCCAGUCACACAGCAGUUCGUGAAAUAGACACAAAAUUCAAUGUAUUGACUCAUAUAUAAAGACACAAAUUUCAUAUUUUUUUCGUGAUGGUCAGCACCAAAUCAAUUCCUCUGUAAUCCAUGUAAUUGUGAACCCGGAAGGAUAAAGA